UACGAAGGGGGCUAGCGUUGUUCGGAUUUACUGGGCGUAAAGCGCACGUAGGCGGAUCGUUAAGUCGGGGGUGAAAUCCUGGAGCUCAACUCCAGAACUGCCUUCGAUACUGGCGAUCUUGAGUCCGGAAGAGGUGAGUGGAAUUCCUGGUGUAGCGGUGAAAUGCGCAGAUAUCAGGAAGAACACCCGUGGCUAAGGCGGCUCUCUAGUACGGUACUGACGCUGAGACGCGAAAGCGUGGGGAGCGAACAGG
rnacentral:rRNA from 1 species